rnacentral:lncRNA from 1 species
GACCGAAGGAUCUCCAAUUCAGAUGUUUCGCUUUUUGCCAGGCCGAGGAGCAAAAUGACUUAUACCUCAAAAUGUCGCUUUUCUAAAUUGUUCGAGUUAACUGCGAGACAGUGCCACAGAUACAAGAUUAGAAAGAAGAGAAUGGGGUACAGGAGAAAUCAAUACCCAUGCUGGGGAAGGAAGAGGGAUUUCCAGGAGUUCACUCUACUCUUGGCAGUGAGGGAACGGCAAUAG